AACCUUCGAGGAAAGUCCGGACUCCCUGAAACAACGGUGCCGGGUAACGCCCGGCGGGGGCAACCCCAGGGAAAGCGCCACAGAGAAGAGACAGCCUUGCAUGCAAGGUAAUGGUGAAACGGUGGGGUAAAGCCCACCGCACGACUGGUAACAGCCGUGGCACGGCAAGCCCCACCGGGAGCAAUGCCAAAUAGGAGCCGCAUAUGGGCCGUUUCAGCCUGCAGGUUCGGGUUGGCAGCUAGAGGGGUCUGGUAACAGGCCCACGAGAUGAAUGAUUGCCCAAGGUUGCGUAGGAAACUACGUUAUCCUGGACAAAAUCCGGCUUAUAGGCCCCCCGCGCAC
rnacentral:RNase_P_RNA from 1 species